rnacentral:rRNA from 1 species
GACGAACGCUGGCGGCGUGCUUAACACAUGCAAGUCGAACGGAAAGGCCCUGCUUUUGUGGUGUGCUCGAGUGGCGAACGGGUGAGUAACACGUGAGUAACCUGCCCUUGACUUUGGGAUAACUUCAGGAAACUGGGGCUAAUACCGGAUCGGAUCUCCUGCUGCAUGGUGGGGGUUGGAAAGUUUCGGCGGUUGGGGAUGGACUCGCGGCUUAUCAGCUUGUUGGUGGGGUAGUGGCUUACCAAGGCUUUGAAGGGUAGCCGGCCUGAGAGGGUGACCGGCCACAGUGGGACUGAGAUACGGCCCAGACGCCUACGGGAGGCAGCAGUGGGGAAUAUUGCACAAUGGGCGGAAGCCUGAUGAAGCAACGCCGCGUGCGGGAUGACGGCCUUCGGGUUGUAAACCGCUGUCGCCUGUGACGAAGCGUGAGUGACGGUAAUGGGUAAAGAAGCACCGGCUAACUACGUG